rnacentral:pre_miRNA from 1 species
CAGCAGUGCUGGUUCUCACCAGUCAGGCUCUGGCCAUACUCCAGGACUCAGAAGAUCCUGGGUAUGACCAGAGCCCGACUGUACACUGACCCAG